rnacentral:tRNA from 1 species
GAGAGCGGAUGUGGUCCGGGUGGCUGUCCUGGUCUUCAAAAUCAGUGGGCGGGGUGACGAGCCGCGCCGGUGGGUUCGACUCCCACACGCUCUCGC